GGUUACUGGCUUGUCCGCCUCUUUGUUCUAAUAAAUCCUUUAGGGUAGCUCUUUUCAGUCUUUGAUAUUGUACAUCCAUUUAAUCCUGGUUGUAGUGGUCUCUCUGGGCGCUGAGGGUCAUCCCACCGCUGCCAACAGUUGUUACGGUACCUUCAGCAUGAAAUGUACAAACCGCCGUUUAGUGAAUGUUCCCCGUUCGCAAUAAUGUAGGCUGCAUGCGUACCCACUACAAUCAUGCGAACCGACAGCAAGGGAAUACUCCAAACUCCCGAACGGUAUCCGUACGGUCACUUCCCUCCACGAGCUUCAAGCUCACGAACCGCCAAUAUCAGCCGAACGCCGAUAUCUCCCAAGCGGCUGAUAAUUCCAAAUAGCAGUCUCUAGUCGCCGGUAAUAAAAUCCUCCCAAUAACGAGACCAAGCUCCGCAUUGAGGGUAAAACACGAACUGAGUUUACUGUGGGCUACCCGCCCGUAUUUAUGCAGGUCUCCCACUUGGUGGACACUCCCCUAGUGGACCAAAUGGGAGACUGGAAUAGCAGAUGGACAUCUGGCAUUUCAGGACAUACAGUCACACAAUAUUUCCAGCAUACAUCACAGUUUCCUCCCCUCUUCCCCGGAGAUAAUUGAGAAGUAAUUCAA